GAUUAAUAAGGCUCUUCAGUUUACCCAAAGCAUUGUUUUCUCCACCUUCUAGCUUUUGCUUUGGGUACCUACUUCCUUGAUAAUUGUUCUUUUGAUCCAUUCUGGAUUUUUUAAGAAAAAUAAAUGUGAAAAGAACAUUGUUUCGUUUUUUUUUUGUGAAGAGGCCCUAACCAGCCAACUAGCUUCUAAGUGACUUACAGAAAACUCAGUGUGGUUAAUGUGAAAUAAUUAAAAGUGAGUAUUUUCUAGUGGCCACAAAAAUAGUUUUUCUGAGUGACAACUUUCAGCCUUGGGAUUAGCUUGAACAUUUUGUCUAACUUUUUUUUUUUUUUUUUUUUUUGCCACUGCACCAUCAUCACGUGUUUGGAGACUUAUCCGCUAAGAUUCUUGUGGAAUGUUAGAAGUGAAGAUCCUAGGUGAUUCUAGCAGAUAAGGAAACUAGCAAUCAGAGAAGAAAGCAAUCUGCCCAAGGUCACAAUUAAGGGCAAGUCGAUGGGAACUUCAGCUCUCCAGACUCCCAGUCAAGUGGCUGGCUGUAGUUCACUGUCUACAUUGGCUUAGUCCUUGAUAAUGAAUAGAAUCCUUGCAAGGGGAGCUGUGAAAUCUGCAUUUCUCCUGUCUUGGAACCAAAAGGACUGCCCACUGGAGUGGGCAGCAGUCUUCUAAUAACUAAUUAUCCAACCAAUAGUCAUGCCACUUUCCUUACUGAUAACUGGAGCCUGCAGCAUUGGAGAAUAAUAGGAGAGAGAAGUUUUGAGCGGCUUUGUUUUUUGCUGCACGUGAUAGGGCCUUGACUCAUUCUGAAGGAUAAGUAUAGUGGAAACCACUGACAAUAAUGAUGGGUCUACUAAUGACCCAGCAACAGCCUUAAAGCCUACCACACUGAAAAAACUAGGGGACAGUAAGAGCAUCUGGAGCAGGCCUGUACAACACAUGGCCCACGGACCACUUGUGGCCUGCCAAAGGACUUCAGACAGCCCGUGAAAAUCUCCAAACAAAAUAAUGCUACAUUCCAUGGGAGUAAUAAUAGCACCUACCUCAGGGUUGUUAUGAAGAUCAAGUGAGAUGGCAUACAUGAAGCACUUUUCAAAGCCUAAAAAGUGCUAUUAAAUGCUAUUGUUAUUACCACCACUAGGAAAAGAUGACAAGUAGCCUUGUAAAAGAAAGAUGCACCAAGUGCUUUGUCCAUGCCCUGCUUAACCUGCCUUCACUAGUCACCAUUGUCCCUGUCAUGUAACUUGGCAGGUGCAUUGCCACUGUGCACUCCUGUUUAAAACGUGACUUGUGGAACCAACCGUCAUCGGUCUGUCUCUAGUCUAAGAGGAGCGAUUUCAUGAUCAAUAAAAACGCUAAUUAAUUAAUUGA